GACGAACGCUGGCGGCGUGCUUAACACAUGCAAGUCGAGCGGUAAGGCCCUUUCGGGGGUACACGAGCGGCGAACGGGUGAGUAACACGUGGGUGACCUGCCUUUAGCUCUGGGAUAAGCCUGGGAAACCGGGUCUAAUACCGGAUAUGACUCCGCGGCGCAUGUUGUGGGGUGGAAAGCCUUGUGCGGCUGGAGAUGGGCCCGCGGCCUAUCAGCUUGUUGGUGGGGUGAUGGCCUACCAAGGCGACGACGGGUAGCCGGCCUGAGAGGGCGACCGGCCACACUGGGACUGAGACACGGCCCAGACUCCUACGGGAGGCAGCAGUGGGGAAUCUUGUGCAAUGGGCGAAAGCCUGACGCAGCGACGCCGCGUGAGGGAUGACGGCC
rnacentral:rRNA from 1 species